ACGAACGCUGGCGGCGUGCUUAACACAUGCAAGUCGAACGAUGAAGCCCUUCGGGGUGGAUUAGUGGCGAACGGGUGAGUAACACGUGGGCAAUCUGCCCUGCACUCUGGGACAAGCCCUGGAAACGGGGUCUAAUACCGGAUAACACUUUUCCCUGCAUGGGGAAAGGUUAAAAGCUCCGGCGGUGCAGGAUGAGCCCGCGGCCUAUCAGCUUGUUGGUGGGGUGAUGGCCUACCAAGGCGACGACGGGUAGCCG
rnacentral:rRNA from 1 species